rnacentral:tRNA from 1 species
ACCUGGGUGGCUCUGUUGGUUGAGCAUCCGACUUCAGCUCAGGUUAUGAUCUCAGAGUCUGUGGGUUCAAGCCCCACAUCAGGCU